CUGCUCACUUCUGCAGCACAUGUACUAAAAUUGGAAUGAUACAGAAGAGAUUAGCAUGCCCCCCGCACAAGGAUGAUGCUCAAAUUUGUGAAGUGUUUCAUAUUCUU
ensembl:snRNA U6 U6 spliceosomal RNA